rnacentral:rRNA from 1 species
GAUGAACGCUGGCGGCGUGCCUAAUACAUGCAAGUCGAGCGAACGGACGAGAAGCUUGCUUCUCUGAUGUUAGCGGCGGACGGGUGAGUAACACGUGGAUAACCUACCUAUAAGACUGGGAUAACUUCGGGAAACCGGAGCUAAUCCCGGAUAAUAUUUUGAACCGCAUGGUUCAUAAGUGAAAGACGGUCUUGCUGUCACUUCUAGCUGGAUCCGCGCUGCAUUAGCUAGUUGGUAAGGUCACGGCUUACCAAGGCAACGAUGCAUAGCCGACCUGAGAGGGUGAUCGGCCGCACUGGAACUGAGACACGGUCCAGGGUCCUACGGGAGGCAGCAGUGGGGAAUCUUCCGCAAUGGGCGGAAGCCUGACGGAGCGGCGCCGCGUGAGUGAUGAAGGUCUUCGGAUCGUAAAACUCUGUUAUUAGGGAAGAACAUAUGUGGAAGUAACUGUGCACAUCUUGACGGUACCUAAUCAGAAAGCCACGGCUAACUACGUG